AACUAUAUUAUUGUUAUUAAAUAAAAAACAAAAACAAAAUAUCACUUAUUGUCAAAAUAUUAAGAUUCUGGCGACUCUAUUAAUCUUUAUAUCUUUUUGUAUGACUGUAGUUGCAGCGCAUCACUAGCAUACAUUACUAGAACGACUAGAACAACAACAGCGCUGUGAAACGUCCCGACAUUCAGUCUGCCGGCAUCAUUCGUCGAUGUUUCUACUACUCGUUUCCCGCCGUGUGACUAAUGUGUGAUUGUGUACAUAUAUGUGUGUAUGCGUCUGUGUAUUAAAUUACAGAUUAACAAAUCAAUAAUGAUUUUUCAUUGCAAUAUCAACAAUAUCAAUUUUUAUGUUAUAUUUAAUCAAGGACACUGUUUAUAAUUCAAUAGUAUCAAGGUCGCGCAAAAAUAUUUUAAUAAAUUUAACAAAAAAUUAAAAUAUUUAUUACAACAAAAAUGAUAUAUAUUAAGAGAAAAAGAGAGAGAGAUUUUAAAAAAGGGAAUAUAUGUAAUAUUUAUUUAUUUAUUUUCUUUUGGUUCUGUAUAAAUAAAAUGAAUUUUA